rnacentral:lncRNA from 1 species
CGUGCAUUGCAUAGUUGUAGAGAUUGGAUUUCACUCAAAACCUACCAAAUGACUCCUCCCACCAUAUGAUCUUGUUCCCUCAGUUUUGGACUCAAUCCGAUAUCGAUUAGUCCAUGACAUUGGAAAAUUCAGGUUCGUACGAAGUUCGUUAUGAAAUGGAAUGGUUGGUGUAUUGCAUAGUUCUAGAGAUUGGACUUCACUCAAAACCCACCAAAUGACUAUUCC